AAAUGGUAAGAUUCGCGAAUGUUGCUUCGGAUUAAUAUUAAUAGUUGUGCAAAUUGUCAGGGCAAAAAGCGAGCAUGGCCAUGGCCAAGACGGGCUCGGCAGAGACGGCCUGCUUCCCCUCUUCGCAAAACUGCAGCGGCGCGAGCCCACAAAGGUCCCCAACACGCGAGCUGGCGGUGUAAACCUACAAGUUCAUCAAGGAGCUGGGCCGCCUUAUGGAGCUGAAGACUAUUCUGGUUCUUGGUGGCGACUCCAGGGACUCCAGGCCGUUUUCUCCACUUGUGUGUGGAAAUGGACUUAGAGCUGAAUUUCGAAGUGUUCUUUGAAACGGGCUCCGGCGAGCAGCUUAACGAAACGCUGCACAGAUUGCCGACUUCCCGUCAGAUGGCCAUGUUUUUGGCCACUCUGCCAAAGCUUUUGGUGGAAUCUGCCCGCGCAGGCCUGAUCGACCCAGGCCUAACUCGCUUGGACGUCGAGUCCAUACUUUCGGACGGACACGCUCUAAAGUUUAUUUGCUGCCGACCGGACGACCGCUACACAGGUCUCGUGGUUCUUCAUAAGUACGUUAUUCCUGUGGAGACGCAGACCGUGGUGUUGUCAGCGAAAACGCUUACAAAAAAUACCUGAAAUGAUCUCAGUAAGAUCCCAGUUAGCAUCAACUGAUGCCAACGCGCGUGAUUUAUUAGUCGGCGGACGAGCACACAAAGGAUGGGCCUGCCAUUAACACCUUUGAGCGUCAGGCGAAGAAUGCCGACAUGAAACACAAGCCUGGGCAAAGUGCAGGACUAAGUCGGGCUAAGUCCGGUGCAUGGACUCCAGAAUGAAGGAGUAGUGAAAAUGCAGAUAGUGAUAAUGACAAUGUUAAGCCUCAGUCGCGAGUGGAAUUAAUUAAAAAGUGCAGCGAGGACCACGCCGAACGAAAAACGAUGGGCGCAUGCGUAGCGUGCUGAAGACUCAUCGUCAAAAAACUCAAGAGGUAUGACAUUUAUCUUAUUCCUAUGAUUAAGCUUUUUAUAUGAGUUUUGAAAGGCAUUUGGCCAGGCACAUUGCAAAGCUUUUUGCCAGACUUUUUCUAGGCUUAUUGCCUUUUAUUGAUUUUUGCCUGGCUUGUUGCUACUUUUGAAAAGGGCUUCAUCCUGAAAUAAAUACUCAUAUAUUAUAAAAACAGGAUAGGUAGCUGUAUGGAAACAGGCAGACAGACGUCACUAUAUCAACUCGGCUAGUGAUACUGAUUAAAAGUAAAUCAGGUACGUAAGUACCAUGUUCAUAUGAAUAAACAUGUGUACUUCCCAAAACUGGUUAUAAAUUAUACUCAUCAAAUGAAGACAUUAACAAUAUGGAUAAAUAUAUAUUUAUUUAUUUGGCAUAUGGAGCAUAUUUCUGGUUGCUAAGUUUAUACGGUUGUGUUUUCUAUAUUCGUUUAUGGUUAAGGGUUAUUUUUCAGAAACAUGUACGCCUUUAAGUAUAAAUUGCUCAACUGCACUAUACGUUUUCCAUUUAUUUGUGUACAAUUGGUUUUGGGCGAUACAUUUUCGUUUCUACAUGCUUUCAAAUACUUUUGUUGUCAUGUUUGUCUGGUUAAAACUUAACAAACUGGUGCGAUUGAGAAGUGCGCAAAUGAAUGUAGAUAGCCCCAGGUUUACUGUAUGACAAAUCAACCAAGUCGAGUUGAUUGGAGCUAUUUAAAUUCCUAGCUGACUUUGCAUUCUUGGUUUCUGCUUUAUUGAUUUCUGUAUUCCUUACUUUAUUUUAAUUUAUUUCUCAUCAGGGCUUGUAUUUUAUAAUAGUGCAGAAUCGGGGUCUGGGAAUUGGUUCAAAAAUUGUUCGCGAAAACUUUAAUAUUUAAUUUAAGAACAAAUUUUUUUUCUUUUAUUGGCAACGUCUAUUAAAUAGAAAAUUGCUUUAUGAAUUUGUAUCCUCUGGCCAACUUAUAGAUACUGUAAAGAGACAAUAAAAUAAUUCUUGCCUACUGAGUGGGCAAUAAUUUAGAUACUAAUGGGAUACAUUCGUGUUUCUUUUUAGAAACAAUUAAAUUCGCUCAAUUGUUAUUUUGCAUUUAGGUUGAAGUGUAUUGUAAUGUUAACGUUUUCUAAUAUUUAAAACUUUAAAUUGACAAUUAACCAAUUUCUGUAUAAUACAAUAUUGUUUCAUAUCGAAAUGACGAUUUGUUCACAUGCAAUAAUAUUGUUCCUUUAUUGAUUCGUUACUACCUUUAUUAAUAAGUGUUAUUCGAUUGUAGGUAAGUUUUGCAUUUUUAACGUUGAAUACAUGCCAUAUCGGAUUGGCCUAACAAAAACAGUAACAAAUACCAUGGUAGUAGCAUGUUUCAUUGCACGUUAAAUACAUAGAGUGGUACUUAAUCUGGUCAAAAUUUGCCGUUUCUGAAGUAACAACGUUUCGUAAACGUAUUUCAAUAUUGAUUCUGUGGGUAGUUUUCUAUUCAGCUUCCGGAAUUCUCUAAACAAACGAGGUAUUCGAACAGAAAAUUUUAAAUAAUUUGCGGGUGUUUAUUAUCGACUUAUCACGUAACCUAGAAUUACAAGUAUGGACAGGUAAUAGGGUUUUAGACUAGCAGUCGGCGACAUUUGUAUAUAAAACCGCAUUUGUUCUUUGUUGUAAAUCUAAAAUUCUUAUUACCGCAUUAUUGUUAGGUCGUUUGCAAAUCCUUUGACAGAAAUAAAUAAAAUAAAUCCUAAUAAUUUUCUAACUUAAUAUACUUCUAAGCUAUUGCGAUAAAGAUGGGAAAUCAAAGCAUACGAAACAGUACUAAAACAAAUAGCUAGGCACUGAAAGUGAACAAUUUCGAGUUUGUAAAAAAGUGAGCAGCACUUUGGAAAUAUUACAUACCUGCGUGUAUAUUUAAGUUCGCACGCAAACAUUAGCUACAAGUAUUUGAAAAUGUAAAUUAAUAUUUCUACAAUUUAUUAAAUAAUGCCACUAAAAUAAAUGAGCAUAUUGAUAUACAAUAAAAAGUCUUUAAGUUAAAUGCGGGUCGAAAGCUAACAUUUUAGAAAAAUGUGUGUUCGGUAAUAACUAAUAAUAAUGAAUAAUACCUUCAGUGCGCCGAAGGUUCAUAUCAAACAAAAUGAAUCCAUUUUUUAAAUUUAAAAAUAAAUACAAAUAAUUUAAUAAUUUUAAACUUAAAAGCAAGCAGUGCGCAGUUUAGCGUUAGUGUAUUUUAAAGAAGAAAAGUAAUCGAUAGUGGUGAACUCAUCGAUACAUCGAUACGCUUGCUGACUUACGUUUGUUUACCUUUCCUUACGUUUUUUAAAACAACAAAAAAAAACAAAUGGGCAAAAAGCGAGCAUGGCCAUGGCCAAGACGGGCUCGGCAGAGACGGCCUGCUUCCCCUCUUCGCAAAACUGCAGCGGCGCGAGCCCACAAAGGUCCCCAACACGCGAGCUGGCGGUGUAAACCUACAAGUUCAUCAAGGAGCUGGGCCGCCUUAUGGAGCUGAAGACUAUUCUGGUUCUUGGUGGCGACUCCAGGGACUCCAGGCCGUUUUCUCCACUUGUGUGUGGAAAUGGACUUAGAGCUGAAUUUCGAAGUGUUCUUUGAAACGGGCUCCGGCGAGCAGCUUAACGAAACGCUGCACAGAUUGCCGACUUCCCGUCAGAUGGCCAUGUUUUUGGCCACUCUGCCAAAGCUUUUGGUGGAAUCUGCCCGCGCAGGCCUGAUCGACCCAGGCCUAACUCGCUUGGACGUCGAGUCCAUACUUUCGGACGGACACGCUCUAAAGUUUAUUUGCUGCCGACCGGACGACCGCUACACAGGUCUCGUGGUUCUUCAUAAGUACGUUAUUCCUGUGGAGACGCAGACCGUGGUGUUGUCAGCGAAAACGCUUACAAAAAAUACCUGAAAUGAUCUCAGUAAGAUCCCAGUUAGCAUCAACUGAUGCCAACGCGCGUGAUUUAUUAGUCGGCGGACGAGCACACAAAGGAUGGGCCUGCCAUUAACACCUUUGAGCGUCAGGCGAAGAAUGCCGACAUGAAACACAAGCCUGGGCAAAGUGCAGGACUAAGUCGGGCUAAGUCCGGUGCAUGGACUCCAGAAUGAAGGAGUAGUGAAAAUGCAGAUAGUGAUAAUGACAAUGUUAAGCCUCAGUCGCGAGUGGAAUUAAUUAAAAAGUGCAGCGAGGACCACGCCGAACGAAAAACGAUGGGCGCAUGCGUAGCGU